AGGAGACAGAUCAAGGGCGUAGAGAAAAAAAAAAAGCCCGCUACUUACUGCUCCUGAAUAGAGGUCAAAGGAGAGGUCAAAAAGAGAGGUCAGUUUCGGGGAGAGAGGUGUCCUGGUACCCUCCUCUCCUUUGCUGUAUAAAAAACAAAACUCAAAAAAUCUGUCCACCAGUUCAAGGGCGCAGAAAAAAAUAUUAAAAAAAGCCAACUUACUGCUCCUGAAUAGAGGUCAAAGGAGAGGUCAAAAAGAGAGGUCAGUUUCGGGAAGAGAGAGAGGUGUCCUGGUACCCUCCUCUCCUUUGCUGUAUAAAAAACAAAAACAAAUCUGUCCACCAGUUCAAGGGCGUAGAAAAAAAUAUUAGAAAAAGCCAACUUACUGCUCCUGAAUAGAGGUCAAAAAGAGAGGUCAGUUUCGGGAAGAGAGAGAGGUGUCCUGAUACCCUCCUCUCCUUUGCUGUAUAAAAAACAAAACUCAAAAAAUCUGUCCACCAGUUCAAGGGCGCAGAAAAAAAUAUUAGAAAAAGCCAACUUACUGCUCCUGAAUAGAGGUCAAAGGAGCGGUCAAAAAGAGAGGUCAGUUUCGGGAAGAGAGAGAGGUGUCCUGAUACCCUCUUCUCCUUUGCUGUAUAAAAAACAAAAACAAAUCUGUCCACCAACAACGAGCGGCUUUUUUUUAUUAUUGCUUCCUUGUGUGCCCUUGAGCUGCCUCCGUUGUUGUAAAAAAAAAAAAAAAAAAACGCGGGGAAUUUGAUGGCCGUGGCGCCUACGCAUUUCUAGUUCGUGAAUGCGUCAAAAUCAGCUGUUGUGAGAGCGACUUGACGAGAGGCUUUUCAAACACGCGAAUUGAAACCUCCAGAUGUUCAGGAAUACCGUAUAAUGAGUCUUGUUUUGC